CAGUGUCUGUCAUGAGUAAUGCAUGGGAUGGAACCACACACAGUCUGUUCCAGACACGGGAACCAUGGAAACAUUCCUGACGUGUGAGCUGCUCCUUGGGAUGAUGGCAGGAAAGAGGGGCUGAAGGAAGCUGGUCUUGUCCUCCUCUGUUGCCCAAGGCCAGAUCAUUACAGAACAAGAGGGAUUUCAGCUUCUUGACUCAUCCACGUGGAAGAAGGAGCAGCCGGGCCACAGAGUGAUCACACACUGCAGUGGAAAGACACCAGUGCUAACAACAGUCACAUGCAUGGAGUGUCCUUCACUAUCCAGCUUCAAAAGGCUUUGAAGGAGGGAUAUUCCUGCUCAAAAACGCUCAAAAAACCCAAGGCCUGAG